UACGAAGGGGGCUAGCGUUGCUCGGAAUCACUGGGCGUAAAGGGUGCGUAGGCGGGUCUUUAAGUCCGGGGUGAAAUCCUGGAGCUCAACUCCAGAACUGCCUUUGAUACUGAGGAUCUUGAGUUCGGGAGAGGUGAGUGGAACUGCGAGUGUAGAGGUGAAAUUCGUAGAUAUUCGCAAGAACACCAGUGGCGAAGGCGGCUUUCUGGCCUGUUCUUGACGCUGAGGCGCGAAAGCUAGGGGAGCAAACGGG
rnacentral:rRNA from 1 species